rnacentral:lncRNA from 1 species
UAUAAAAUGUUUUCCAAUUCCAGCUUCAGAUAUUCACAACCAAGCUUACAGGCACGACAAUCGGCGUAUCUGUUUUCGGUCUGUUUGUCAUCACAAAAGAGGCACUGCUUACGAUUGCUGGCGCCUACGUGACCUACUUCUUCGUCCUUACUCAGUUCAGAUUCUGAUAAAUGUUGACCUCAGAGCAGUCGGGUGGAAUUUAAAACAUUCUUCUCAAUUUGCUGCCGUGUUCAGACUCAAUAAAAGGUUAACUUUGUGAA